rnacentral:tRNA from 1 species
GCUUCCUUAGCACAAUGGUAGUGCGUCCGGCUUGUCAGUAACCCUUUACACUUCUCUUCACAUGAAUACAAAACUAACCUCCAUCCAGUUAACCGGAAGGUUGCGGGUUCGACCCCCGUGGGUAGCG